UACGUAGGGGGCAAGCGUUGUCCGGAAUUAUUGGGCGUAAAGCGCGCGCAGGCGGUGAUGCAAGUUUGGUGUUUAAGGCCAGGGCUCAACCCUGGUACGCACUGAAAACUGGGUCACUUGAGUGCAGGAGAGGAGAGUGGAAUUCCACGUGUAGCGGUGAAAUGCGUAGAGAUGUGGAGGAACACCAGUGGCGAAGGCGACUCUCUGGUCUGUCACUGACGCUGAGGCGCGAAAGCGUGGGGAGCGAACAGG
rnacentral:misc_RNA from 1 species